UACGAAGGGUGCUAGCGUUGUUCGGAAUCACUGGGCGUAAAGCGCGCGUAGGCGGCUAUACAAGUCAGGGGUGAAAUCCCAGAGCUCAACUCUGGAAUUGCCUCUGAAACUGUAUAGCUAGAGUGUCGGAGGGGAUAGCGGAAUUGCUAAUGUAGAGGUGAAAUUCGUAGAUAUUAGCAGGAACACCGGUGGCGAAGGCGGCUAUCUGGACGACAACUGACGCUGAAGUGCGAAAGCGUGGGGAUCAAACAGG
rnacentral:rRNA from 1 species